rnacentral:rRNA from 1 species
GACGAACGCUGGCGGCGUGCUUAACACAUGCAAGUCGAACGGAAAGGCCCUGCUUUUGUGGGGUGCUCGAGUGGCGAACGGGUGAGUAACACGUGAGUAACCUGCCCUUGACUUUGGGAUAACUUCAGGAAACUGGGGCUAACACCGGAUAGGAGCUCCUGCUGCAUGGUGGGGGUUGGAAAGUUUCGGCGGUUGGGGAUGGACUCGCGGCUUAUCAGCUUGUUGGUGGGGUAGUGGCUUACCAAGGCUUUGACGGGUAGCCGGCCUGAGAGGGUGACCGGCCACAUUGGGACUGAGAUACGGCACAGACUCCUACGGGAGGCAGCAGUGGGGAAUAUUGCACAAUGGGCGGAAGCCUGAUGCAGCAACGCCGCGUGCGGGAUGACGGCCUUCGGGUUGUAAACCGCUUUCGCCUGUGACGAAGCGUGAGUGACGGUAAUGGGUAAAGAAGCACCGGCUAACUACGUG